GAUGAACGCUGGCGGCGUGCCUAAUACAUGCAAGUCGAGCGAACAGAUGAGGAGCUUGCUCCUCUGACGUUAGCGGCGGACGGGUGAGUAACACGUGGAUAACCUACCUAUAAGACUGGGAUAACUUCGGGAAACCGGAGCUAAUACCGGAUAAUAUAUUGAACCGCAUGGUUCAAUAGUGAAAGACGGUUUUGCUGUCACUUAUAGAUGGAUCCGCGCCGCAUUAGCUAGUUGGUAAGGUAACGGCUUACCAAGGCAACGAUGCGUAGCCGACCUGAGAGGGGGGUCGGCCAAACAGGAAAUGAGACCCGGCCCCGCCCCCUACGGGAGGCAGGAGUGGGGAAUCUCCCGCAAGGGGCGAAAGCCUGACGGACACACCCCGGGGGAGGGAAGAAGGGUUUCGGAUCGUAAAACUCUUUUAUUAGGGAAAAAAAAAUUUUUAAGUAAAUUGCCCCCUCUGGACGGUACUAAAACAAAAAGCCGCGGCCAACUGCGU
rnacentral:rRNA from 1 species